rnacentral:rRNA from 1 species
UACAGAGGUGCCAAGCGUUGUUCGGAUUUACUGGGCGUAAAGGGUGCGUAGGUGGUGUGGUAAGUCAAAUGUGAAAUCCUGCAGCUCAACUGCAGAACUGCAUUCGAAACUGCCACGCUGGAGUACUGGAGAGGAGAUCGGAAUUCUCGGUGUAGCAGUGAAAUGCGUAGAUAUCGAGAGGAACACCAGUGGCGAAGGCGGAUCUCUGGACAGUUACUGACACUGAGGCACGAAAGCCAGGGGAGCAAAUGGG